ACCACAACGGGUGGAGCUGUCGGUUUAAUUGGACUCAACGCCGGGCAGCUCACCGGAUAAGACAGCUGGAUGAUAGCCGGGCUGAAGACUCUGCUUGACUAGCUGAGAGGAGGUGCAUGGCCGUCGUCAGUUCGUACUGUGAAGCAUCCUGUUAAGUCAGGCAACGAGCGAGACCCACGCCAACAGUUGCCAGCAUGUCCUCCGGGAUGAUGGGGACACUGUUGGGACCGCCUCUGCUAAAGAGGAGGAAGGAAUGGGCAACGGUAGGUCAGCAUGCCCCGAAUUAUCCGGGCUACACGCGGGCUACAAUGGUCAGGACAAUGGGUAUCGACACCGAGAGGUGGAGGCAAUCUCCUAAACCUGUCCUUAGUUCGGAUUGUGGGCUGCAACUCGCCCACAUGAAGCUGGAAUCCGUAGUAAUCGCGUUUCAAAAUAGCGCGGUGAAUAUGUCCCUGCUCCUU
rnacentral:rRNA from 1 species